GUCCACGCCGUAAACGAUGGACACUAGGCGUCGGGGGGAGCGACCCCCUCGGUGCCGUCGCUAACGCAGUAAGUGUCCAGCCUGGGGAGUACGGCCGCAAGGCUGAAACUCAAAGGAAUUGACGGGGGCCCGCACAAGCGGUGGAGCAUGUGGUUUAAUUCGAAGCAACGCGAAGAACAUUACCUGGGCUUGACAUGCUGGUGAAAGCCGGUGGAAACAUCGGCCCCUCUUCGGAGCGCCAGCACAGGUGCUGCAUGGCUGUCGU
rnacentral:rRNA from 1 species